AACGCACAUUGCGCCCGCCAGUAUUCUGGCGGGCAUGCCUGUCCGAGCGUCAUUUCAACCCUCGAACCCCUCCGGGGGGUCGGCGUUGGGGAUCGGCACUUACCUGCCGGCCCCGAAAUACAGUGGCGGUCUCGCCGCAGCCUCUCCUGCGCAGUAGUUUGCACACUCGCACCGGGAGCGCGGCGCGUCCACGGCCGUAAAACAACCCAAACUUCUGAAAUGUUGACCUCGGAUCAGGUAGGAAUACCCGCUGAACUUAA
rnacentral:misc_RNA from 1 species